CACAGGGCCACCUGCUCCCUCCUGGACGUCGUGGAUCUGUGGAAGUGCCCUGAUCUCCAUCCUCACUCCCCUGGGGAGUCUGAACCUGGCGGUUUGACCCAAAGGGCCCAGAGGCCCGAGUGUCCCAGCAGGUCACUGGCCAGCGGCCAUCCGAUGAGCUCCAGGCCCCCAAACCUGCUUGAGUGAGAGGGUUCUCAUCAAGGCCACGGGGCUGACCGGGUUGGGGCCAUGGACUCCCUGUGAGAUGAUGCAGCCAGGGGUCCCCACGGCUGCCACCGCCCCCGGGGAGCCACCCCAGGAGGCACUCGUCUCAGAAGCUGUCCAGCCUGCUAGCCAGCCCUGCUUCUGUGAGCACCAUGGAGAUGCCAGCCAGGAAGCAGCAGGGCCACCCGUCCCAGGAGAGCUGGACAGGGCUUCCGAGCCGGCAGUGGGUGGCCCCGGGCCGGAGCACAGGAGGGCCCCGGCCGGCUCUGCGCAGAGACAAACGGUGAGUGCCCCCGUAUCGACGUUUCCCAUAAUGAUGACCGUAUUUUCCCCAUCGGUNNNNNNNNNNNNNNNNGGCAUUUGAGUAAUCGAAGAUUAAUUUUAAUUAAGUCUUAGAAGUUUUGUGACUGUGCCUGACAGAGGAUGCCUGUCCAUGGCUGCAGAGGGGACGGCAGGAGCCUGCCCGGGAAGGGGGCAUCCGUGGGCCCUGGCCUCCCCGGGGCCUGCCGUGUCCUCUGCCCUGGUCUGCAGAACGAGCCUGGGAAAGAGCCUGGAGGUGGGUCGUGGCCGGUGCCGGGGCCUCCCCUUCCGGCGCAAGCCCUCGACUGUGAAAGAAGGUGAUAACGCCCCUGCUCCGUGUCCCAGGCCCACCCUGCAAGAACGGACGCCCUUACUUCUCCGCAUAACCUUGUGGGAUCGCCCUGAAAAGGAACUCCAGCCUCCUUCUUCCCAGACCUCCUUUUCUGGGUUUGCCAUGGUCCGCAGGGUGGGCCAGCCAGGCCGCAGACCACGCCCACAGCUGCUGACCUCAGGACACAGACCCCUCACCUGGGUCGCCUGCCGGGUCCCACCCACCCUCCAGAGCGUCUCACGUCAAGGCCAGGAGCCGGGGACCCUGCACAGGGCUCCACACCAGCCCCUCAGGGCAGCGCCCCCCAACCCCGGGGACUCCAGGUGCCUCCCACCACCCACUAGCCCACUGACAGUUUCAAUGCCUCAGAGGCGGGAAGGUCAUUAGCAGAAAUGAAUUAUGAAUGAGGAGGCCUCGUUAGAGAGACCAGUGAAUCAGCUCUCUCACCCUGAGUCCCUAAGCACGAACAGGGAAGCUCUCAGGGGGAGGAUCUGCCAGGCUGCAAGGUGGGGGGGGGGCCCUGGGCACCGAGGACCCCACGGGUGUCUGAGCCCCGGGGCAGAGCCCCAGGACUGUCCACUUCAGGGCCAUGGGGACCCCAGUGCCGCCGACUGGCUGACACAGGUCCUACCUGCUGAGACUGUGCAGCUGGCCGUGGACCACAUCUCCCCACCCCAGACCCUGACCCCAGCCUGGGAGCAAUCCCCCCGCAAGACUGACCCCCAGCCAGGGAGCCAAACAAGUCUCAGAGUUGCCAACACCUCCGGACAGAACCACGACAGGCUAACGAUGGGGCGCUGGCCAGAGGUCGUUCAGAGCAGUGACCCUGGGCCAGAGGUCAGGAGAGUCUGGACCUGAGAGCUUGGGCUGUGGACAGGACAUGGGUGGGGCAGCGGCCAGGGGCCAAGCUCCUGCCUUCGGGCCUUGGGCAGCCCCAACCCUCUCAGGGCCUCAGUUUGCCUGUCCAGGGAGCCCUUGGGACAAGGCUGACAGACCAACAGGUUGGAAAGACCGAGAGCCUUCAGAGCCUGCAGCAAGCAUGGUUGACUUAAUUCCUGGUGAGGGUUUUCGC
rnacentral:lncRNA from 1 species